rnacentral:rRNA from 1 species
CCACCGAAAGGUGUGCUAAUACCGGAUACGCUGAUUUAUCAGGAAAGGUGGCCUCUUCAUGAAAGCUACUGUGCCGGGAGGAGCUUGCGUACCAUUAGCUAGUUGGUGGGGUAAUGGCCUACCAAGGCAACGAUGGUUAGCGGGUCUGAGAGGAUGAUCCGCCACACUGGAACUGGAACACGGACCAGACUCCUACGGGAGGCAGCAGUGAGGAAUAUUGCGCAAUGGGGGCAACCCUGACGCAGCGACGCCGCGUGGAUGAUGAAGGCCUUCGGGUCGUAAAAUCCUGUCAGAUGGAAAGAAAUGCCAGAUGUCUAAUAUAUGUCUGGUUUGACGGUACCAUCAAAGGAAGCACCGGCUAACUCCGUGCCAGCAGCCGCGGUAAUACGGAGGGUGCAAGCGUUGUUCGGAAUUACUGGGCGUAAAGCGCGCGUAGGCGGCUAUUUAAGUCAGAUGUGAAAGUCCACGGCUCAACCGUGGAAGUGCAUUUGAUACUGGGUAGCUUGAGUACUGGAGGGGAUGGUGGAAUUCCCGGUGUAGAGGUGAAAUUCGUAGAUAUCG